UUUCGCGCAAGCACAGGCGGGUACGCAGUCACACCACGCAGAGACCAGAGUGGCGAGAAAGGGAACGCAUACCUAGAACACCUGAGGUCGGGUCACCACCCAUUUACUCAACACGUCCUCUUAUUAGUCACCCAGCAUAGGACAAUGCAGGGAGAUCCGUCUCUAGGACGUUCCUAUAACGCGCAUUCAAAAUCACUAGUGAGAGUGAUGCUAUCGAGUCACGGGGACCCCUUUUCCUGGGACAUACUUCCCACUGGAAUCCUUCCUACCUUCCCAGAAGCAGAGUCAUUCCCGCCAGAGGAACCAGGCCUCAUUUGUUAAAUCAUCUGAAUGCUCCUUCACAAUUAACAACAUAGUACAACAUUAGCAAUAAGGUUUCCAUAUGAUAAAGUUGCCUGGUUUCAGUACUGAGGAUAAAGGGCAUUCAAGAUCUGAAGGGACAAAAUGGUGACAGGAUUCAGACGGAGUGACUCACAAGAUGCUGCCUUUCCAGAACAAGAAGAAAUUCAUACCCAUUUCCUGACCUUAAGAUUCAAAUAGGGGAAAAAAAAAAACCGAAUGGCCUAACAGAGCCAAAGUAAGCCAAGAUAAUGAAAAAGGGGAGUUCCUUUUGUAUCUGCUAGAUAUUAUAGAAAAAAUAA